CCACGCACGAAAAAAAAAACAAAACAGAGACUUCUGGAUCCUUCAACACAAGGGUUCUAUCGAUGCUAUCUCCCUCUGCUCUUCUUUGAUUUCUCCGCGUUCUGGUCAGAGGAAGCUGGAGGAUUUUGGCUAGAUGUUUCGAAUCUUCAUCCAGCUCUUCCGUCCUCUGUCACUGUCUUCAUCUCGUUCUUCUUCUUUUUCAUCAUCCUGCAGCGUGUAGCUGGUGACCGUGGAGGAGUUCAUAACUGUUGCUGUCUUCCUCAUCUUUUUCCUGCUUUUAUUUUCGUUCUGGCGAUGUUCGUGUCCGAGGAGCUGAGUAGUUAGAGCUGGAGGAUCUAUUUGUAAGUCACUUUGGUUCUUGGUUGGUUGUUGUGGCUGUAUUCCUCCCCCUCUCUGAUGCAUCGUGUUCGGAAUUUCCCUCCCCUGUUUAGCUUAAGGAUGUUUGGAAGGAGGGAAGCUCAAAUGGAGUCAUAAGGAAUGAGUUUGGAGCCUUGAGGAUACUACAGACCACGCACGAAAAAAAAACAAAACAGAGACUUCUGGAUCCUUCAACACAAGGGUUCUAUCGAUGCUAUCUCCCUCUGCUCUUCCUUGAUUUCUCCGUGUGUAGCUGGUGACCGUGGAGGAGUUCAUAACUGUUGCUGUCUUCCUCAUCUUUUUCCUGCUUUUAUUUUCGUUCUGGCGUUGUUGGUGUCCGAGGAGCUGAGUAGUUAGAGCUGAAGGAUCUAUUUGUAAGUCACUUUGGUUCUUGGUUGGUUGUUGUGGCUGUAUUCCUCCCCCUCUCUGAUGCAUCGUGUUCGGAAUUUCCCUCCCCUGUUUAGCUUAAGGAUGUUUGGAAGGAGGGAAGCUCAAAUGGAGUCAUAAGGAAUGAGUUUGGAGCCUUGAGGAUACUACAGAUAGCGUAGCGGACCGUGUACCUCCAUUAGAUCCUUAAGGGCAUUUUGCUUCUGGACUGAAGUUGAGACACCAUUUUGGUUAAUUUUUAUUUUGAUGUAAAUUUAUAAUUCAUAUAUCAUAUUUUUACAAAUAAUGUUUUAGGUGCUCCACAUAGAUUAUAGUUAGAGUCCUAAUUCUGUAUUGUGCUAUUUGAUUGUUGUGGAGGAGAGGAGUUCUCUUUUGCUGAGUUGAUGUCAUAGAUUGUGAUGGAAUAUUUUUUGAGGCUCUAUGUUUUCGGGGAGGUUUUGUUAAACAUUUUUACAAAAAGUUUAAAAAUAUUUUAUUAAAAAAAAUUGUUACAAUGAUUUUCUAUCCUAUUUUAAAUGAAUUAAAAUAUUAUGUUAAAGUUUCUUUAAUUAAGGCUUAAGGGAUAUAUGUUUAUGCAUAUAUCUCGUGCCGGUCACGUCUAAUUUUUAGGACGUGACAGAAUGUAUAAUGUGUUGAUAGAAUUUGAGUUGCUAACUAGGAUGUAUAAAUGUAUGUGAACUUGAGAAAGUAAAUUAUGAUAUAGACCUUGCUUGUAUAUAUAUAUAUAUAUAUAUAUGAUAUUGCAUUAUACCAAGGGUGCCCUAGUAGAGGGUACAUAGAUAGGUCUAAAUGCGAGACAAGCAAGUGUAUGAUGUUGUAACUUGUUCCACUAGUGUAUAUAUAUGUGUCGAUUGUGAUUGAUUAUAUGAAUUGAAUAUGUGUUGUGUUGUGAGAUGGGAACUUGACACAAAUGGUAUGAAUUUGACACAAAUGGUGAGGUGGAGCCCUUUUUAGAAGAGUCAAGUACAUUUUUAAUUCCCAACCAUAUGGUGAGGCGAAGCCUUAUAUGUAAGAGUCAAAAGGUUGAAAGUGAAAUAAGUCUAGUUAUAUAUGUGAUUAUGUGUUGUAAAUUUGUUUUUCUCAUAUAAGAUCACAAGUUUGUAAUGUGGCUUUAAGAGGCCAAAAUGGGCUAUUGAUGUGAUAUAUGUGUAUUGUGAUGUUAAUCAGGUGUAUGUAGUCCUUUUGGACUUGUUCAAGGCCCGAAGUGGUCUAAUGGGAUAAGGAAUGAAAAAUGAGCACUUAGGGUGUGAGUUUUUGAAAGAAAAAGUAACUUUUUAUACCCGAGUCUUUAAUUUUAGAUUAGACCGUUAGAUUGAGUCUAAAUUGUUCUAUUAGCUAGUAUACAUCACAAGCUUCGUGUGGGCGCUUGAAUUACUUCAAUCGAAUGUCAGGUGUGAAAAUGGCGAACGUCGAAAGUUCAUCAUUUUUGUUGUCAAAAUGAUGGCAGAAUUUUGGAUAGGCACGCCACGGCACAUGAUGUACCCACCGCGAUGUAUGAUGCAGUCAAGAACAGAGCAUGUGGUUUUGUGCCACAUGCUAUGACGCACGUGUUUCGCGACAUGAUGCAUGGCCUAUUUUUAGGGUUGAAAAUUUAUCUUUUCGAGUCCUUUGAAUGUGUUUAUGCUUCCACUAGCCCUCUUAUUUGAAUAUAUGUUUUGAUAAGUCGAGAUCCCAUGAUUUUAAAAACAAAUAAAGGGCUAUUAUUCUAAUUUUGAUUUAUUAAUUAUGUGGUGUGGAAUGGUAAAGCACGAGUUGAGAUGAGACUUUAUAAUUCGGACCCAAGGACUUUAUAGGAAUCCACUUGAGCACAAUUCUUCACCAUGGCCGAAUUGAGCUUUAGGAAUGCAUUAAAGAUUUUAAAGCUAAACCAAGAAACAAAACACUAGGGUUUUUAGGUGUGAGGUGAGAGAAGAAGAAUGGUGGAUUUCGAUGGUGAAAUGGGGGGUUAUAAUAAGGUGGAGAAAUGGUGGAAGAGAUUUUAAGGUUCAUGGGUGUUUUUGGGAGAAAAGAUGAAGUUGAAUGAAUGUAGAAGAUGAGUGAAAAAAUGUGAAUGAGGAGGUUGUUUUAGACUAUUUUAGUAUGUUUAAGGCUCAUUUAGAUCAACAUAAUGGCUUGGAAUCAUGCCCACCAAGUGCCCUAAAGUGAUGCGAGCCUUGUGUGCAUCUAAGGGUCCUUUCACAUGGCGUUUCAUGUAAGGCCAUGAAUUUUGGGAAUGAAUUAUUUAAAUGACAAUAUAUGGAAAUGGAAGACAACUAAUAAUCUGAAAAUGGAAGGAGAAUUUUAAAAAUAACAUGAUGGGGAUGAUGGAAAAAUGCAUAGAAAAAAUAAGAAAAAAAGGAAUUAAUUUUGAAAGAUGAAAUUGUUAUGACUAUCCUUGUACUUUCUUAAGAUUUCAUCAACCAUUGGUGACCUUUUGAUCAUGAAAAUAGCUCAUCCAAGGCUCCAAUUUCAUGCAAGGGGGCUACCACCAUCAUCCAAAAGCUUCUCAUGGCCUAAACCACACAAUGAUCUCAUUAAAUAGCAAGUUGUGCAUAAAUAAUUCUCUGUGUCUCAUAAAUUUAUCCAACUUAGGUUUAAAUUAUGAAAAUGUAGUGAAGUAAAUUAAAGUGAUUAAAUAGAAGUUUAAGAGAUGAAUUUAGUUAUGAGAAGUUUCCUAGGAGUUCUUGAUUACAAAAACUAAACCUAGUAUAGUUCCAAAGUUCAUGAAAAUUAUAAUUAAAGUACAAAAGGUUUAUACUUUAAAGGAUGUUUUAGUGAAUAACUCACAAUCUAAGUUGAAUUAACUCAAAUUAAACUCAUGAGAUUAAUGAAGAACUAAGAAUUAGCAAAUGAUGAAUUUUUAUAUUUUUCUAAAUUAAUUUUUGAAAAUUACAAUUUAACUCUAAACUUUUAAAAAUUUUCUCUUUAGCCCCAAAUUUUUAGAAAUUACAAAAUUAGCCUAGGUGAUCUAAAAUGCUUCUAAUAUGCACCAAAUAGUCCUAAGAUGUGUCAAAAGCUUGAAAAAGUGAUAUGAAAAUGAUAUAACAAAUGAUAGUUAUUAGAGUGCUAAGCACUCUACACUCUUAAGUGAAGCAAUUUUUCUCUUGGAAAAUUUAGUGGCCCGAGAAAAAUUCAUUUAGUGGCCAGGGAAACCAUGAAGCAAAACAAGGAGAUUGACAGCCUCAGCUUCAAAGACCUUUAUAAGCAGAAUUGGGCAUUUAUUAUGAAGUUAUGCUGGAAUUUGAUAACAAAUCUAGAGGCUUUUUGGGUCAAAUGCCUUAGAAUGAAGUAUACAUAUGGAGAAAGGGGCCUUCCAAAGGUUGUAAAGAAAAAGAAGGCAUUGGUGGUCUGGAAUAGCAUUGUCUUAGUUUGGGAUACCUUUAUGAAAGGAGUGGGAAAGAAAGUCAAUAAUGGUAAAACUAUAAGAUUUUAGUGGGACUUGUGGACUCCAUUCCAAGAACCACUUGUGCAAUAUGCAUCACAAAAUAUUUCUUUGCUAAAUAGAGAGACAACUGUAAAUCAUUUUGUUCUAUCCAGUAGUGAUUGGAAUGUUGAGGAAUGGACUUAGUACUUUCCUAAUUGGGUGAUUCAGAAAAUUAUAAUCGUGAACUAGCCAUGUGAGGGAAGGAAGGACUUGUUUAUUUGGAGAUCAUCCUCAGAUGGAUGAUUUAGUGUGAAGGCAGCAUAUAACUACCUAGAAAAUUCCAAUACCACACUAUGGGAACCUAUUUGGAAGAAAAUGUGGCACUGGCUAGUCUCUAAAAAAGUGAAACACUUCUUUUGGUAGAUUUUUUAUGAGAGACUUUCCACGAACCUACUCAAAGCAAAACAUGGUUUAUCACUUAAUGAAUGUUGUCCUUUUGAGUGUGAUAGAGAGGAGAACAUAAUACAUAUCCUCUGAGAGAGUAUGAGAUUGCUAGAGAAGUUUUGCUUUCCUUAAUCAACCCUAUAUAUUUGUCUUAUUUUCUUUCUUGUAACUUGUAGGAAUGGCUAAAAUAUAACUCAUAGCAUGAAUUAGGUAGAGCUGACCAUCAAUAAUGGCCUUGGAUAAAAAAUUUUUACUCUAUGUGUUGGAUGCUAUGGAAGAAUUGAUGCAAGAAAGCUAUGUAAGUAAAACUUCUUAAUGCAUAUGAAAUUGUUCAAAGCAUCAAGUUUCAUCUGAUGGAAACAGAGGAAAAUUGAAAAUUCAAAUAUAAAAUUUUUCAGAAGAUGGAAGGCUUGCAGGAGAAAUAGAGACAUCCCCUGACUGGUUAUUAUAGGCUUGAUACAGAUGGAUCUAUCAAUCAAGAGGGAUAUGCUACUUGUGGAGGGGUUAUUAAGAAUUCAAGUGGAGAUUGGAUUAUAGGAUUCUAAAAACAACUUUGGGUUUCUUACCACCUACAGUUGCUGGACUUCAGAGUCUCAUAGAAGGAUUGAGAAUUAGUAAAUAAUAUAAUUUUAUUCAGAUUUACUGUCAUGUUAACUGCAUAACUUUGAUUCAACUUUUACAAUAGGGAUAUGUGCCGGAUCAUCCACUUAGGCAAGAGAUACAUGAAGCUAGACAGUUCCUAUAUUUAGUUGAAGACAUACAUGUUCAAUACUCUAAUAGAGAGACCAAUUGUGUGAUAAACUAUCUUGCACAAAAAGUACAGAAUGUGAUUGAUUGCUUUGUCCUUUUGAAUACACCCCCACCAGGUUGUCUUGGUUUCUAUAAUCUAGAUAGAAAUGUGUAAUCUGUUUAGUUUUUUUUUCCUCUAGAGCUAGGAAUUUCCAAGCCUAGGCUUGUCUUGUAAUUUCAAAAAAAAAAAUAUUCCCCUUGAAGUAUUUUUUUCAAGGUCUAAAAAUGCCCUUCUGUUAGAAGAUAGUUAACUUUGUUGUCAUUUGCUAAGGUGGCAUGUGCAUAAGGUCCACAUACAGUGAUAGGUAAGACUUUAAUCAUGUCCUUUAGUGCUAAUUUACCCCUAAACUUUUUUUUUAGGAGUGUUGAGCACCCUAAAAUCUUUUUCUAAUAGCACUGGA